AUGAUGGACUAUAGGACAGGACUGCUGCUUUUUACUGUCUGCUGGGCAGGUGUUGAUGGUCAGACUCUGACAGAAUCUGAAGCAGUGGUUAAAAGGCCUGGAGAAUCCCACAGACUGACCUGUUCAGCCUCUGGAUUCACAUUCAGCAGCUACUGGAUGAACUGGGUCAGACAGGCUCCUGGAAAAGGACUGGAGUGGAUCGCUAUUAUCAAAUAUGAUAGUGGUGAAAUCUACUACUCUAAUUCAGUUAAAAGCCGGUUCACCAUCUCCAGAGACAACAGCAGACAGCAGCUGUAUCUGCAGAUGAACAGUCUGAAGACUGAAGACACUGCAGUGUAUUACUGUGCC